rnacentral:rRNA from 1 species
GAUGAACGCUGGCGGCGUGCUUAACACAUGCAAGUCGAACGGAGUUAUCAUUUUUGAAGCGAUUAGCUUGCUAAGAGUGGAAAAGUUGAUAACUUAGUGGCGGACGGGUGAGUAACGCGUGGGUAACCUGCCUUACACAGGGGGAUAACACUUAGAAAUAGGUGCUAAUACCGCAUAAGCGCACAGUCCCGCAUGGGACAGAGUGAAAAACAUUAGUGGUGUAAGAUGGACCCGCGUCUGAGUAGCUGGUUGGCGGGGUAACGGCCCACCAAGGCGACGAUCAGUAGCCGGCCUGAGAGGGUGGACGGCCACAUUGGGACUGAGACACGGCCCAA